GAUGAAGAACGUAGCGAAAUGCGAUAAGUAAUGUGAAUUGCAGAAUUCAGUGAAUCAUCGAAUCUUUGAACGCACCUUGCGCUCCUUGGUAUUCCGAGGAGCAUGCCUGUUUGAGUGUCAGUAAAUUCUCAAUCCCCACUAGCUUUUGCAGUUGGGGCUUGGAUAGUGGAGGUAUUUGCAGGCCCUUUUUUCAAAGGUGUCAGCUCCUCUGAAAUUUAUUAGCGGAACCGUUUGCAAUCCGUCACAGGUGUGAUAGUUAUCUACACCCCAGUGGGUUGCUUUCUGAUUGUUCAGCUUCCAACCGUCCUUGUUGUGGGACAACUACUGAAAUUUUGACCUCAAAUCAGGUAGGACUACCCGCUGAACUUAAGCAUAUCAAUAAGCGGAGGA
rnacentral:misc_RNA from 1 species